UCGAGAAUUUUACCAAUGGGUCAAAAUAAGUCAUUUCAUUUUCACCAUCCUAGAAGUGGUGAAGUUUGAUUUCUUCCCAUUUCAUUCCCGCCCAAAAUUCACAGUGCUCCUAAAAUCUUCCCCAAAAUUGUCGAAACCCUACAAUCUUCGUCCCUUGAUCUCAAAAAGUCCCUAAUCGUUUUGAUGUAACAAGCAUAUCUCAGUUCAAUCAAUGACAAAAUGCCCGAGCAUUAUUUUCCUGCUUCAAUCAAAAACCUAAUUGUACAGCACAUACUGAAUCAAUUCCUUCCUGCGAGCGAACCAUUACACGCCCACAAAACAAUGUAGCAAAGCUUUGAGCUUGUUGCGAGCAACAAAUUAGUUCAUCUUGCUUCAAUCGAAGGUUAGCAUCAAGGGAACAUUAUAUAUCUAUCAAGGGAAAUGUUGCAAUUGCACCUUCUAAUCUUCUGACAGAGCUCCAUUUGAAUUCCAUUAUAUCAAAGGAGAUUGCUGUUUCCCACUAAACAAAGGACCCAACGAGCUAAUUAAGUAAAGAGAUAAGUCACUACAAAAAUUUAUUCCAGGCUAAAGACUUAAAAGGACUUCAUGCAAUGUCUCGUUUUUUUGGGUCCUAUGAGAAAAAUAGAUCCAAGUGGACAAGUCUAUGGAAAAGGUAUAUUGUUUUCUUAAGUGCAAUGUCUCGAGUUUUUUUAUUAUUUUUAUUUUUAUCAAUCAAGUUGAGUUUUUAAACA